ACGGGUGAGUAACACGUGAGUAACCUGCCCUUCACUUCUGGAUAACCGCUUGAAAGGGUGGCUAAUACGGGAUGUUUCUGGGUCUGUCGCAUGGCGGGUUCGGGAAAGAUGGCACUGUUUGGUGUUUUUGGUGGGGGAUGGGCUCGCGGCCUAUCAGCUUGUUGGUGGGGUGAUGGCCUGCCAAGGCUUUGACGGGUAGCCGGCCUGAGAGGGUGGGCGGUCACACUGGGACUGAGAUACGGCCCAGACUCCUACGGGAGGCAGCAGUGGGGAAUAUUGCACAAUGGGCGGAAGCCUGAUGCAGCGACGUCGCGUGAGGGAUGGAGGCCUUCGGGUUGUGAACCUCUUUCGCCAGUGAGGAAGGCCUUGCCUGUGUGGUGGGGUUGACGGUAGCUGGGUUAAUUGAAGCGCCGGCUAACUACGUGCCAGCAGCCGCGGUAAUACGUAGGGCGCGAGCGUUGUCCGGAAUUAUUGGGCGUAAAGGGCUUGUAUGCGGUUGGUCGCGUCUGCCGUGAAAUCCUCUGGCUCAGCUGGGGGCGUGCGGUGGGUACGGGCUGGCUUGAGUGCGGUAGGGGAGGCUGGAACUCCUGGUGUAGCGGUGGAAUGCGCAGAUAUCAGAGGAACACCGGUGUGGAAGGCGGGUCUCUGGGCCCGUUACUGACGCUGAGAGCGAAAGGCGUGGGGAGCGAACAGGAUUAGAUACCCUGGUAGUCCA
rnacentral:rRNA from 1 species